rnacentral:rRNA from 1 species
GACGGAGGGUGCAAGCGUUAUCCGGAUUCACUGGGUUUAAAGGGUGCGUAGGUGGGCUAGUAAGUCCGUGGUGAAAUCUCUGAGCUUAACUCGGAAACUGCCGUGGAUACUAUUAGUCUUGAAUCUCGUGGAGGUAAGCGGAAUAUGUCAUGUAGCGGUGAAAUGCUUAGAUAUGACAUAGAACACCGAUAGCGAAGGCAGCUUGCUACACGAGUAUUGACACUGAGGCACGAAAGCGUGGGGAUCAAACAGG